GCCAGUGUCAGACACAGGACAGAGAUCAAACAGGGAUCAAGAGAGACAGGACUCGGGUUUGGCAACUCAUGGGUGACCUUAAAGCCAUCAGUGGAGUGGAAACAAGUGGCUGGCUUUGCAGAGGCUCAGAGUGUGGCUUGGCAACAUUUCCUGGAGAAGUGAGACCGUGGAGCUGGAGCCUUGGGAACAGAGUCGGGGCUGGGCUGAGGCAGAGGGCGGGGACCCCGGGCCCGGGGCGGCCUUGGGGUUGCAGAGGAAAGAGAUGCCAAUUACUGGAGCCAGUGUGGGGCCGGUGGAUGAACCCAGACGCUCCUCCUCCGCCGUGAGAGACAAGGGGAAGCAGGAUAUGGCUACCAGUUUGAAGACAAAAGAAAAGAAGCUGGUCUCGAUUUUGUGCCGAGGGGGCAGUAAGAACCUGCGUGAUUCAAGUAACCCCCCUGGAGCACCACUGGCCCCAUUGCCCAGGUGCUGGAAAUGCCCAGCUCCUGCAGGAGGUCCCCAACGAGCAUCGGCAGGACGGUCAGAAAGGAGCAGCUCAGCCGAUACGGGCAGUACCCCCCACGCCACAGCACCCCAAAAGGGCUAUUUUUAGAUCUCCUCCGCCCCCUGCAACCCUCUCACUCUGGGAAUGUCAUACCGCAUCAUAAUAAACACAUCAGAAUGCAUCCACAUGCCACUUCAAAUAUCAUUUACAUAUAACUUCAUAGGAGCGGAGGAGUUGGAUUUAACAAGUUGACAUGAUGUUAACAUUUUGCACAUAUUCAA